GCGGUCAUAGUCUAGUGGUUAUGAUUCCGCCUUCCCAUCAUAACGAAUGAGAUAGGCGGAGGUCACGGGGUAAGUUCUGCCGUUCACAAUGACUCUCGUCACAUUGUUCUAACAUCCCUCCCAGUUCGAACCCCGUUGGCCGCA